GACGAACGCUGGCGGCGUGCUUAACACAUGCAAGUCGAACGGAAAGGCCCUGCUUUUGUGGGGUGCUCGAGUGGCGAACGGGUCAGUAACACGUGAGUAGCCUGCCCUUGACUUUGGGAUAACUUCAGGAAACUGGGGCUAAUACCGGAUAGGAGCUCCUGCUGCAUGGUGGGGGUUGGAAAGUUUCGGCGGUUGGGGAUGGACUCGCGGCUUAUCAGCUUGUUGGUGGGGUAGUGGCUUACCAAGGCUUUGACGGGUAGCCGGCCUGAGAGGGUGACCGGCGACAUUGGGACUGAGAUACGGCCCAGACUCCUACGGGAGGCAGCAGUGGGGAAUAUUGCACAAUGGGCGGAAGCCUGAUGCAGCAACGCCGCGUGCGGGAUGACGGCCUUCGGGUUGUAAAACGCUUUCGCCUGUGACGAAGCGUGAGUGACGGUAAUGGGUAAAGAAGCACCGGCUAACUACGUG
rnacentral:rRNA from 1 species